GCAUCCGUAGUUUAAUGGAUAGAAUAAUAGCCUCCGAAGCUUUUGAUACAGGUUCGACUCCUGUCGGAUGCG
rnacentral:tRNA from 1 species